ensembl:lncRNA uncharacterized LOC110088108
AAAAAGUCUUUGAGGAGGAAGACUUCAGGGAAUCGAGUGCUGUAUUUGGAAAAGUGUCCAAAGCUGCAUCUACAAGCAGUUCUGAGCAGUCAGGUAAAUAAGUUCCUUUACACGUCACCGACCUCAGCCUCAGUCACCUGGUUCAGUCCUUUAGAACAAGGAUGCCAGUCCAUCAAGCUGUAAUAAGAUGCUUCUCUGUUUUAGGUAACAAGCCCAAUAUGCAGGCUGACGCUGAAAUAAAUAUAGCAGAGGAAGCCUCUAUGAAGACCAAACCUGUAGAACUGGAACCAGCUGACAAUGGGAGUGACACAGAAUCUCCCACCUUGAACGAAGUUAAAAGGAAGAGAAAUGCUUCUGAUCAGAUUAUGGAAGCAACCCACAAAAGACCCAAGUAUGCCAGGAGUUCAGGUGACAACGUUCCAGUGAGACCUUGUAACAUGAAGGGGGGGGAAAAACAAGGGGAGCCUGAAAAUGCUGGAAGCACAGGGUCUGAUGUGUCUACAGGGGUGUUUAGUGUAGAGGCCAAGCCGCCUGUUGAUUAUUUAGAAAAACUCAAAAUGAUCAUUCGUGUGAUUAGUGUGGCUAGGGAGUGGGAAAAGAGACUGAUCCAAAUGAUGGACUCCUUACCUGAUGUGGACGUGCUUUGGGAUUGCAUUAAACAAAUGGAGCAAUUUUCUUCUGCAAAUACCCCUCAAAUCCAAACAGGGUUGGGAUCUCCUGAGUUACAACCGCUGCCAAAAGGAGGGAAAAUGAAAAGGGGGAGACCUGGCCAACGGUUUGGAAAAAGAGGGAAAAAAGAGCAAAUCACAGGGAAACUAUACUGGCACAAAAGAGCUAUGAAAUUGUUAAUCCGGGCUAAAAAACUGCUUUCAGGCAGGAAAAGGCUAUCUGGGCCUCUGCCUUCGAGCCCCGCACGAGAGCCCCCAGCUCCUCAGCCCGAGUUCUCCACGGAAGAGCUGGAGCCUGAAAUUGAAGAGAGUGAUGAGGAAACCCCGGAGCCCCCAACUCGUCAGGGUGUACGACGAGGGCCUGCGGCUGCUGAAGAAAUCUCUCCAGAUCCUGAGCCCUCCUCCGAAGAGCUGGAGCCUGCAAUUGAAGAGAGUGAUGAGGAAACCCCGGAGCCCCCAACUCGUCAGGGUGUACGACGAGGGCCUGCGGCUGCUGAAGAAAUAUCUCCAGAACCCGAGCCUUCCUCCGAAGAGCUGGAAGCCCCCAACUCGUCAGGGUGUACGACGAGGGCCUGCGGCUGCUGAAGAAAUAUCUCCAGAACCCGAGCCUUCCUCCGAAGAGCUGGAGCCUGAAAUUGAAGAGAUUGAUGAGGAAACCCCGGAGGUGUAUGCGGAAGUGCUAAAGACGUGGGAAUGGGAGCAAAAGAAAUUCGGAGCUCGUCAUAUUGGGCAGGAGUUCCGACUAGUUAAUUUACAAAACAUAACCUCCUUUGCCCAAGCGGUAACCGCCUUGCACGGUGCCAUCCAGCAGGUCCUCGAUAAUGUGAGCCAAAAGAUUGACGCUGGGGAUUUCGUGCGGAUGAGAUUUGAGGGUGGGGACAUCGGGGACCCUUUGUUUUCGGUGAAGCUUAAAGGGGGCCUGGAUGCGGACGAGUUCCUCUCUGAGCUGGGCAGCCUGCUACAGAGCGACAUGGAGCUGUGCGCAGACCUCACUUUGCGACUUGUCGUAACCGUCGUGAAGCCCCCCCGUAGGGGCAUCCCUUCGCGGUGCCUGGAGAGCACCGGCUAGCCAUUGAUUGUGGCCAGUGAAAGGGGCCGGAGAGCUUUUUGAUUCAUCCGGGCAAGCCCCAGAUAGCCAGCCCGCUCCUGAAACAAUCGACAAUCUUUCUUAUGGUGGCAGAGCGAAGAGAUGAUGUUCCAGCAGAAGCAACUGCAGCAUCCUUUUUAGCCACAACAUGUGGCUGUCACUGUGUAGUUCUUUUUAGAUGGUUUUUAAAAUCACAUUUUAAUGCUGUACUCGGUAGAGGCUUCCAGGAACCAAGGAUAGAAAAAUUUAAAGGUCUCCCCAACUCUGCAGUCUGUUUGAACAUGCCCAAGCCUGUCACUCCCAGUGUAAAAUGUAAGGGUGAAAUAAAAUAAAGACAAAAGUUGUAUGUUUUAUCUGU